rnacentral:rRNA from 1 species
UACAUGGGGUGCAACCGUUGCUCGGAAUCAUUGGGCGUAAAGCGCGCGUAGGCGGUUGCUUAAGUCGGAUGUGAAAGCCCUCGGCUUAACUGAGGAAGUGCAUCCGAAACUGAGCAGCUAGAGUACGAAAGAGGGUCGCGGAAUUCCCGGUGUAGAGGUGAAAUUCGUAGAUAUCGGGAGGAACACCGGUGGCGAAGGCGGCGACCUGGGUCGAGACUGACGCUGAGGCGCGAAAGCGUGGGGAGCAAACAGG